rnacentral:lncRNA from 1 species
GUUUUUUGUUAAAUAAUUCCAGAACAUCUCAUUAUGAUAUUAUGUAUUAUAUAAUGUUCUCUAUUGCCUGUUUUUCAGAAGCUGAAAUCGCCAUGGUGAAGAUGAUUGACAAGGUGAAGAUGAUUGACAAGGUGGAGAUGAUUGACAUUGGUCAUCCAUUCUUCUACCGAUUGGAUCCAAUGACCUAAUGAUGAUCAUGAUGAAGAUUCUGGAGAUUCUUCCACGCAGCAAAGUCAUCCACGUGUAUCCUCUAUCUGUGACCCAACCCUCUCCUCCAUUCAUUCACUC